UAGGCAAUUUGUGUCAUCAAGGCAACGCAGAAUGGUCUAGAAUAUUACACUUCAUUAACGAAGUAAGCCAUUUCAAUAGUGCAGGGCGAGACAUAGAGAGAAUUAACAUCAGAGUUUGCUUGAGAACAGUAAUCUGCAUUCUUCUUAGCGACUUAAAAUUGCGUAUGCUGGAGCUAAGAUGCUAAUGUGCGGGAUUUCCUUUAAAAUACGUUCAAACCUGAUCCGUAGUCAGUUCUUCUUUGGCUGGUUUACUUACUGUUUUGCCCUCUUUAUUAAGAAGGCUACACGACGUGCUGGAUGGUAAAGUCUGUACGAACACAAAACAGGAGAUUCCUAUCAAUUGUGUUUCAACCGGUCAAGGUCAAGCUUGAUUAAGCCCGACUUCCCUUGUAUUUCAAGAGAGCAGAAAAAAGCUCAAUUCAUCUUUUGUUUUUCUUGCUCGGUUUCAACUGGAUCACAAGUAUCAUAAACCACAAAGAGGAAGUUGCUGGAGGCAUCAUUGUUUGGAGGAAAACUGGGGUCUUUCAGGGUCAUCUGCGCAACUGAUCCCGACAAGGAAAGCCUGAGUCAUGGUCUCAGUUUGUGGAACUAACUAGAUUACCGAGCAAGGAGCGCGGGCUCAUUUCCUGAACAGCGGGUGAUAAUUGAGCCUAUCUGUGAAGAACACAGCGGUCAAACGUUGGGCAUGCGCGAGGGGAUCAGUUUGGGGCGUCCGCGCACCAUUUUCUCAAGAAGUGUUUUUAAGGAAUACUUGUGGAACAAUUGCUGUCUCGCAAAAUAAGCAAAAGAAAAUUGAAAAGUUCAUAGUAACCUGAAAGAGGAAACAUGAGUAGGGUGAAGCAAAACUCGAGGCUUUUCGAACACGAAGCUUAUUCAAGUACGAGUAUUCUGUUGAUUUACCAUUCUGGUUUGAGCUUUCCCAAAAAACUAUACUUUCUAAAACACCGUGACUUACUAGCUUGUGUGGUUAUUGCAAUUUUUGUGAGACAACUUGGUUCUGACAGCCUGGAAGCACGUUACCCAGCCACUACAACAAUCAAAAAUGCGCAGGCGUUUAACCGCUCUGUUUCCUAUUAAGACACUCGCCAAAGCAGCAAAUGAGAUAAAACGCAGUCUAUGACUGCAUGUAUUUACUGUUGUACAGUUGUUGAGUAAUGUGGUAGGAACGCAAUGUAAUUUAAAAUGCAAAGGGGUCAAUGAACAGCACUUUUCGAUGCAAAAACUGCGACAAAAGGAGGACUUGGUUGGAACAGAGUUUGUACACUGGUCAACUGACAAACCGAGG